rnacentral:lncRNA from 1 species
GUGGUCCAUGGUAGAUAAAGAAGGAAGGGACAUCCAAGAGUUGGAUGCCCCUUGUCUUGCCUUGUUUGGAUAAUCCUUGACUAGGUAUUUGACCUAGAUAAGGACUCUUCAUAUCUCUCUAUUUAAAAUAAAUUUAUUCAUAAAAUUUUUAUAGAACAUAGAGCAUUGAGAGACCUUUGGGGCUUCCAAAAAGCAAGGAGAAAGAGUCUUAGGGCAUGG